UGAUUAUUGGCGAUUCACUGAUCUGCUCGUUGUAUCCAACUGCUGAACACGCUUGAAAACGCGACAUGAAGUUCCUCUGCUUACUAGUGUUGCUCUGCGUGCUCGGUGAAUGUGUUAACGGAGUUAUUCAGUAUCGAUUGAAUGUAAACCUUGAAUUAGACAGCACUGACAGUGAUUCAGCCUUGCAAAUUAUCGGUUACGAUAUGGCCCCUCAAGCUGCUGCAUGUGAAUGUAGUCCUAUUUGUUGCACUACAAUGCAGGGAGAGUGUCCACCUUGCUGUGUUUUGUGUGGAACGUGCUAGGAACGGAAUUGCAUUGCAAGUAAAUAUGUCAGCGAGUAUUUGGUGUCGUAAGGGUGAAUAAUCGAUCAUGGAUAAUCAGUUCAGUAACAUAGAAUAAAUCUUAAUACAAACAAA